GUUUAAACGAGGAAAGGCCUACGGUGGAUACCUAGGCACCCAGAGAUAAGGAAGGGCGUAGUAAGCGACAAAAUACUUCGGGGAGUUGAAAAUAAGCGUAGAUAUGAAGAUUCCCGAAUAGGUCAACCUUUCAAAAUGCUGCUGAAUCCAUGGGCAAGCAAGAGACAACCUGGCAAACCGAAACAUCUUAGUAACCAGAGGAAAAGAAAGCAAAAGCGAUUCAUGUAGUAGCGGCAAGUGAAAUGGGAGUAGCCUAAACUGUAAAAAUAGGGUUGUGGGAGAGCAGUGCAAGCGUCGUGCUGCUAGGUGAAGCGAUGGAGUGCUGUAACUAGAUGGCGAGAGUCCAGUAGCCGAAAGCAUCACUAGCUUAUGCUGUGACUCGAGUAGCAUGGGGCAUAUGGAAUCCCGUGUGAAUCAGUAAGGACCAUAUUGCAAGGCUAAAUACUCUUGGGUGACCGAUAACGAAGUAGUACCGUGAAGGAAGGGUGAAAAGAACACCCAUUGGGGAGUGAAAUAGAACAUGAAAUCGUAAGCUCCCAAGAAAUGGGAGGAGCCCAGGGCUUUGACUGCAUGCCUGUUGAAGAAUGAGCCGGCAACUCAUAGGCAGUAGCUUGGUUAAGUGAACCCACUGGAGCCAUAGUGAAAGUGAGUCUUCAUAGGGCAAUUAUCACUACUUAUGGACCCGAAUCUAGGUGAUCUAUCCAUGACCAGAUUGAAGCUUGGGUGAAACUAAGUGGAGGUUCGAACCGACUGAUGUUUAAUGUCACGACCCAAUCUAUAGGCCCGUGACUGGCGCUAGGGAAUGGGUAGGCGUAAGGCCACCGAAACCCAGCAAGCCUAACUAAUCACUAACUCAAUCAAAAAAUAAUCUAAAUUCUAUCCAUUAUAACACUAUUUCAUAACUAACCUUCAACCAUCCAAAAUUACAUGUUUAAUUCAGUCUGCCAGCACAAAUAGGCAAUACUUGGUUUAACAGGCCAAAACAAAAUAAUAAGUUUUGGAAUUACUACUGCGGAGAAUCUAGAAUUCUAAAAAAUCAAACAUACCAAUAAAGUUAGUUAAAUUAAACCUGAAGAUGAAGGAAGUCGGGCUGCUAGAGGAAAGAACUGCAGAAAAAUAACAAACACCUGAAAAAAUAAUUAAAUUUGAGACUGUCAGUCUCUAGAAUGAGUUAAAAUCAUAUAUUCCAAAAGUAAAUAUAACCAUCUCAAAAAAAUAUUUAUUUAUUCAAAAUAAAAUAUUAUAUCAUAUAAAAUAGCGUGUCUUGCCAUGAUUCAGUAAAAUAUAAUUUACAUGCUACAGGACGAGUACGUCAACAGAACCCUAACCCCAAUACUAACAGCCUUUUGGCUCUCUCACUCCAACAGGACUGGUGCCCAGAGAGCGGAGCUCGACCAGGAUCCUUAACCAGUCUGGUUGCUUAAUUCCCAAUAAAGUCGGCACCUAGAGAGCAACGCUCGACUAAGGACCUUUAAUCCGGCAAUCAAAAUCUUCGCAACCCAGAGAGUUUAACUUAACCAAGGUAAGCCUUAAAAUAUUCUCUUACUACUUGUCUCAGAUUUAUACCGGUGCGCACGCGGUCCUGAUGCAAACCAUCAGGUGGCAUGUUAUAUUGCCAUAUCAUCCCGAGUCAAUAUGCAAUCAUUUAAUAUUAUUGAAUGGGAAAAUGAUAUAUGAAUAGCAAAUAGAUAAUUAAUUCUAUAAAACAGUUAUUUAGAUUAAUAGUAAAUAAAUAAAUGAUUUAAAUCUAUAAAUCAAUUAAUCAAAAUUGCUAUAUAAAAUUAUGGCAUGACACAUGUACGGUAAAUAUAUGACUUUAACUCACAGUUCUGAUGACCCCCUUGCUCUGCUCCUAAGCCUCGAGUGAAGCAGACUAAAAUAAUGGAUUAUCUAUUCACGGGAACAAUUCAAUCAAUAAAAGUAAAAUAUUUAAUAAAUAACCCUAGGCCUAGAAUUCUAGAAUUGACUGUCUAAGAAUUUCAAUUUGGAAAUUCUAUCGAAAAUUCAGCAGAACCUCCCCUAAAAUAUGAAAGUUUGCCCCCCGUAAAACGGGUCCAGAACUUGCCAGAAACACUUCUAAUAUUCAUCAAUUAAUUAACGGGAGACGGGCCGCAACAGACCACAGACCAUAAUGAUUUUACAGACGAUCUGACAUAAUAUUUAUUUCGACAACCAAUCCACACAUGAUUUUCUGGUAUUUAUACUAAUUCAACAUCAUCACAACCAUCAUAAAAUGACAUAAUAAUUAAUCAAAUAAAUUUUUAAUUAACAAUCUCUAAAAUCAACAGGCUAAAGAAGUACCGAGAUGCUUCAUAAAUUGGUCGACUCGCCUUCAGCCACAGGAGUUCGAUCGGUGACCAGUCCCCGAUCAUCUGGAGAAAAACAUGGACAUUUUUUACCGUCGAUUUUCAAACAGAUUCCGAUUGCUGCAAAAUUAGUGCCAUUGUAAAGCUUGUGAUGAGAAGAUCUAAAUGUGUCCUUUGAUCAUUGAAAGCUCAAUGGCACUGGCCGAAAAAGUAAAAAAUCCGAACUGCCCUUAUAGUCUUUACCUCGCCGGAUUUUACAAUUCCGGCAACCUCAAAGGGUGACGAUGGGCAGAAAAGAAAGCCUAGAAGUUGUUGAUCAUUUUAAGCUUAAGAAUGCCGCAAAUGGUUGUCAGAAACUCCAUGAACGACAUCAUAAAAUUCUGCCUUUUUCUUGUCGAAUUUCGCCAUCUGUCGCUGCUCAUCAUUGCUACCGGUGCUGUUGCCACGUUCGUCGGCCUCUCCUCUUCUACCAGCCGUCGCCACCAUGCCUCGGAUAGCCUCCUUCGCCAUCCGCCAUUGAUGGCCGAGGCAAGCUUCCUCUCCUCCUUCUUCUUCCUCCUUUUUCCUUUCUUCUUUCUUUUCUUUCUUUUUCUUAUCGCAACUUAGUCCCUACAUUCUUUAGUUACUAGCUAUUUCCCCUAGCAAAUUCUUGUUUAAUCCUCCACCUUUUCUUUAGUAUUUUAAUUAAGCCCCUAGCUACUUAUUUUGGGCCAAACUAAAAUUAUUAAAUAGAGAGUUACUUGUUUACCCUUGCUUUUAAUGGUAAUAUUACUAAAAUACCCCUGUCGACGUAUUUAAUUAUAAAAAUACCAACCAUAAAAAUUCUCACUUAAACCCCAUAUUAAUGCAACUAUACUUUUAACCUCUAUCUCAUAAUUAAUUGUCAAAUUAAUCCUAACACUUAAUUAACUUAAAUAAUCAAUUUGUUAACUAUUUUCUAAUUAAAUCUAGUACCAUUUGCUAAUUAAAAUUUUAUAUUUCCCCAAAUAAUUUCUUCAAGAUAAAUAUUUUUAUAGCCUCCAAUUAGGCAAAUUUAAUUAUACUUAUACAUACUAUGUAAAUACAAGGGUGAUACUUAUAAGAAGUAAAUCACAUUUUAUAUUAUUUGCUUAGCAAAUUCUUAUCUAAUUAAACUUAUUAAAUAUGGGUAAAUAAUUCCUUAAAUUUUUAUCUACAUUUAAAAUCCUUAUAAGUUAUUAUUAUUAUUAUUAUUAAUAAAAAUAAAAAUUUCGGGUAUUAUAUUUAAGAAUCAGCGGAUGAGUUGUGGUUACGGAUGAAAUGCCACUCAAACCUAGAGCUAGCUAGUUCUCCCCGAAAUGCAUUGAGGUGCAGCAGUUGACUGGACAUCUAAGGGUAAAGCACUAUUUUAGUGUUGGCCAUGAGAGCGAUACUAAAUUGAGGCAAACUCUGAAUACUAAUAUGGACCUCAAAAUAACAGGGGUCAAGGUCGGUCAGUGAGACGAUGAGAGAUAAGAUUCAUCGCCGAGAGGGAAACAGCUCGGAUCACCAGCUAAGGCCCUUAAUAAUCACUGUUUAGUGAUAAAGGAGGUAGGGGUGCAGAGACUGCCAGGAGGUUUGCUUAGAAGCAGCCACCCUUGAAAGAGUGCGUAAUAGCUCACUGAUCGAGCGCUCUUGCGCCAAAGAUGAAUGGGGCUAAGCGAUCUACUAAAGCUGUGGAAUGUAAAAAUGCAUCGGUAGGGGAGCGUUUCGCCUUAGAGGGAAGCACCCGCAUGAGCAGGGGUGGACAAAGUGGAAUCGAGAAUGUCGGCUUGAGUAACGCAAACAUUGGUGAGAAUCCAAUGCCCUGAAAACUUAAGUGUUCCUCCACAAGGUUUGUCCACGGAGGGUGGGUCAGGGCCUAAGAUCAGGCCGAAAGGCGUAGUCGAUGGAUAACAGGUGAAUAUUCCUGUACUACCCCUUGUUGGUCCCGAGGGACGAAGGAGGCUAGGUUAGUCGAAAGAUGGUUAUCGGUUCAAGGACGCACGACAUCCCUACUUUUUUAGGGUAAGAAGGGGUAGAGAAAAUACCUCGAGCUAAUGUUUGAGUACUAGGCGCUACAACGCUGAAGUAACCCAUGCCAUACUCCUAGGAAAAGCUCAAACAACCUUCAAUAAAAGGGUACCUGUACUCGAAACCGACACAGGUAGGUAGGUAAGAAGCGAGAGACAACUCUCUCUAAGGAACUUGGUAAAAUAGCCCCAUAACUUCGGGAGAAGGGGUGCCUCAUCACAAAGAGUGUCGCAGUGACUAGGCUCGGGCGACUGUUUACAAAAAACACAGGUCUCUACAAAGUCGUAAGACCAGCCCAGUGCUGGAAGGUCAAGGAAGUUGGUGACCUGAUAAUAGAGGAGCCGGCAACCGAAGCCCCAGUGAACAACGACCAUAACUAUAACGGUCCUAAGUAGAAAAAUUCCUUGUCGAGUAAGUUUUGAGCCGCACGAAAGGCGUAACAAUGUAGAUACUGUCUUGGAGAGAGGCUCGGUGAAAUAGACAUGUCUAUGAAGAUACGGACUACCUGUACCUAGACAAAAAGACCCUAUGAAGCUUCACUAUUCUCUGGGAUUGGCUUUGGGCCUUUCCUAUGCAGCUUAGGUGGAAGGCGAAGAAGGCCCCCUUCUAAAAGGUUUGAGCCAUCAUUGAGAUACCACUCUAGAAGAGCUAGAAUUCUAACUUUAUAUUAGGACCUACGGGCCAAGGGACAGUCUCAGGUAGACAGUUUUUAUGGGGCGUAGGCCUUCCAAAAGGUAACAGAGGCGUGCAAAGGUUUCCUUGGGUCGCAUAGAGAUUUGCCCUCGAGUGUAAAGGCAGAAGGGAGCUUGACUGCAAGACCCACCCGUCGAGCAAGGAUGAAAGUUGGCCUUAGUAAUCCAAUGGUACCGAGGGGAAAGGCCGUCGCUUAAUGAAUAAAAGUUUCUAGCGAUAACAGGCUGAUCUUCCCCAAGAGCUCAUAUCAACAGGAAGGUUUGGCACCUCGAUGUCGGCUCUUAGCCUCCUAAGGCUGUAGUAUGUUCUAAGGGUUGGGUUGUUCGCCCAUUAAAAUAGUACUUGAGUUGGGUUUAGAAUGUCGUUAGACAGUUCGCUCCAUAUCCGGCGUGGGCAUUAGAGCAUUAGGAGGACCUUUCCUUAGUAUAAGAGGACUAGGAAGGACACACCUCUGAUGUACUAGUUAUCAUGCCCAUAGUAAACGCUGGGUAGCCAAGCGCGGAGCGGAUAACUGCUGAAAGCAUCUAAGUAGUAAGCCCAUCCCAAGAUGAGUGUUGUCCUAUUACUUUCCUAGAACCUUCGGUAGCACAAUCGAGACAACUACGGGUUCUUUGCCCAUACGGGGGUAGAGUGAGAUAAGUUUUGAGAAUUCAAAAGAAGGUCACGGUGAGACGAGCUGUUUAUCAUUACUAUAGGUGUCAAGUGGAAGUGUAGUGAUGUAUGCAGCUAAGGCGUUCUAAUAGACCGGUAGACUUGAACCU
rfam:Ricinus communis cultivar Hale ctg_1100012362925, whole genome shotgun sequence.